AAAACGAUAGUGCCAGAAGCUAAGGGAACCUGAAAAAUCAAAUAGUUGCCUUUUGCUACUUGUUAACAGCCUAGUGAAGAUUUGGUAGAAGUAGUAUUUGGACCAUUUUAAAAUUUUUAGUGUCAAUGGGUUUACAUAAUUCAUCUAUUUCCUAUUCCAUAUUGCCAUGGAGCAUAGUAUAGAUCAUCUAGACUUAGCUGUAUGCAGCUUUUCUACUAGAGUUAUUAGUGUCAUCCUCAAGGUAACAGGCACUAAUAAUUAGAACUCUCCGUCUUCUUUUUUUUGGUAUCUCCCUACACUCCUGACUCUUAUAUAGAACAAAGAACUUUGAGUCUGGCAAGGCUUAUAAGACAACAUGGGGAGAUGGUGGAGAAAACUCACCUUGCAAUGUAGUAUCUAAACAGCCAGGCCCGGUGACAAAUGGUCAGCUUCAGCAACCAACAACAGGAGCAGCCAGUGGUGGAUACAUUAAACGCAUAACUAAUGAUGCCAGAGAAGAUGAAAUGGAAGAGAACCUGACUCAAGUGGGCAGUAUCCUGGGAAAUCUAAAAGACAUGGCCCUGAACAUAGGCAAUGAGAUUGAUGCUCAAAAUCCACAAAUAAAACGAAUCACAGACAAGGCUGACACCAACAGAGAUCGUAUUGAUAUUGCCAAUGCCAGAGCAAAGAAACUCAUUGACAGCUAAAGCUACUGCUGUUCUUCUUUAUCAUUUAUUCACUUCCGUAGCUCCUCCUUGAAAGUUAUUACCUUUUCAGAGUUUAAGUUUUCGGUUCCACGCUCUUCUAAUUGGGAGAUAAUAUGGAAGAAGGGCCAGAGCAGUUACAGCCCUCCUUCUUUUUUGUUUUCUGUUGAGGGCCG
rnacentral:sRNA from 1 species